AUGAAGAAUGUUUAAAAGUGAGAAGAAAGACUUGUUGAUAUUUGGUCACAAAUGGGAUAAGAGCCCAAAACCAUUGCUUUGAGGCAGUGAAUGGCUUGUAUAAAGUUAUUUUUGGUUAGAAUAUGUUAUAAUACAAUGAAUUUGAUUGAUUACAAGUGCUAGAGAUGCAUGAAGAAUGUUUAAAAGUGAGAACAAUGACUUGUUGAUAUUUGGUCCCAAAUGGGAUAAGAAUGCAAAACUAUUGCUUUGAGGCAG
rnacentral:lncRNA from 1 species